rnacentral:lncRNA from 1 species
AAAAAAGCAUAUGGAUUUUUAUUUCGAGAUGGAUUCUUAUGGAAGAGACCGAAGAAAGGAAUUGGGAUGCCACAACGAGUGAUAGGCAAAAGGAAAGAAAAACUAAAAUUAUUAAAGGAGUUUCAUGAUAGUUUAUAGGCAGGGCAUAGAGGAAUCUGGGCUACUUUUGCUCAACUCAAGGAACGAUAUUGGUGGAAAAAUAUGUAUCGAGAUGUGCUCUC